rnacentral:rRNA from 1 species
UGGGGAAUAUUGGACAAUGGGGGCAACCCUGAUCCAGCGAUGCCGCGUGUGUGAAGAAGGCCUGCGGGUUGUAAAGCACUUUAGGUGGUGAGGAUUGACGUAGUGAGGAAAUGCACUAUGUUUGACGUUAGCCACAAAAUAAGCACCGGCAAACUCUGUGCCAGCAGCCGCGGUAAUACAGAGGGUGCAAGCGUUAAUCGGAAUUACUGGGCGUAAAGGGCGCGUAGGUGGGAAGAUAAGUCAAAUGUGAAAGCCCUGGGCUUAACCUGGGAACUGCAUGUGAUACUGUCAUUCUAGAGUGAAGUAGAGGGUAGUGGAAUUUCCGGUGUAGCGGUGAAAUGCGUAGAUAUCGGAAGGAACACCAGUGGCGAAGGCGGCUACCUGGACUUUAACUGACACUGAGGCGCGAAAGCGUGGGGAGCGAACAGGAUUAGAUACCCGGGUAGUCC